CACAUAUCAUUUUGACCAAUUUUCAUGCAACAACCAUAUUGCUUCCCUCCAAAAUGAGUCAUAGUAUUAUUCUUCUACUGCAGUUAAUUUUCAGUUCAUCUCUGUUUCCAGGUAUUAAAUGCAAUGUUCAGCUGGAACAAUCUGGAAGUUAUGUGAAAAAACCUGGACAAUCCCUCUUUCUUUUCUGCAAAGGGUCCGGUUUUAAUUUUGGAAACUAUGGCAUGCAUUGGGUGAGACAAGCUCCAGGAAAAGGACUGGAGUGGAUUGCAGUUAUUUGGUACGAUGCCAGUAAGCAAGAAUAUGCAGAAUCUGUCAAGGGACGCUUCACCAUCUCCAGGAACAAUGCCAAAAGCCAGCUGUAUCUGCAAAUGAACAGCCUCAAACCAGAGGACACAGCUGUCUAUUACUGUGCAAGAUACACAGCGAGAGGAAGUGAAUCUGAAGCCUACCAAGAACUUUCUCCUCCUUUGAGCAGUUCUCCAAAUUGA